rnacentral:misc_RNA from 1 species
UGGUUCUGGCAUCGAUGAAGAACGCAGCGAAAUGCGAUAAGUAAUGUGAAUUGCAGAAUUCAGUGAAUCAUCGAAUCUUUGAACGCACAUUGCGCCCGCCAGUAUUCUGGCGGGCAUGCCUGUUCGAGCGUCAUUUCAACCCCUCAAGCCCUGCUUGGUGUUGGGGCCCCUACGUGCGCCGUAGGCCCCGAAUUCCAGUGGCGGGCUCGCCGCGAAACCGAGCGUAGUAGUAUUACCCUCGCUCAGGACGUCGCGGCGGGCGCCGGCCGUGAAAGAGAACGUGUUCACGACACAGCACAGGUUGACCUCGGAUCAGGUAGGAAUACCCGCUGA